ensembl:misc_RNA
UUGACAGUCCUGGAGGCUGGAGUCCUUUCCUUAUCCACAGAGCAGGCACACAAUGGGCAACGACAGUGCAAAUUACUCACGCUACUCCCACCAGGGUGACUCAGCCUUGACCUGGAGGAGACUACUGAAGGAGAGAGAGUGUGUCACAGGGCUUGUCUUCACUACUGGGGUAAG